AUGGUGGUGCGCAAGCCGCCGCCGAGGAACCGGGACCGGCACACCAAGGUCGAGGGCCGCGGCCGCCGGAUCCGCAUGCCGGCCGCCUUACUUCGCCGGAUCUUCCAGCUCACCCGCGAGCUAGGGCACAAGUCGGACGGCGAGACCGUGCGCUGGCUGCUGCAGCAGUCCGAGCCGGCCAUCGUCGCCGCCACCGGCACCGGCACCGUGCCCGCCAUCGCCACCACCGUCGACGGCGUGCUCUGGAUCCCCACCCAGUCCGCCUCCUCCGCCGUCUUACAUGCAAAGUAA
rnacentral:rRNA from 1 species